rnacentral:tRNA from 1 species
UCCCGGCUUAGUAUUAGAUAUAAAUAUACCUAUCGAAUCUUAGUAAUAAAGGACAGUGAAAGAAAUGAAGUUU